ensembl:lncRNA
CGUCUCGCUGCUGUACUUCUCCAUAAACUACCCCUCUGUACUUUAUGGAUGAAAUUAUCCCUCACCCCAAAGCUCAUUGCCUUUGCUGCUGUGUUGAAAUUCGCAUAACAACACUUCUGUAGUCAGCUAGCCUGACUUCACUAACACUCCUUUUUGUUUAAAUCCAAAGUUAUAGCUUUUGUAUACUUUACGAACACUUCACCAAGUAGCUAGCUAGCUAGCUAACUUCACUAAACUUUAGAAGUCAUCUUUUUAAUGACCGCCUGGAUGCUACGCAUGAUUGUACACAAUUAAUUGGAGUUGAAUGAAUUUGGGCCGUUUUAUCCCUCAAAGGUGCCUAAAAGGUGUUUACUUUUGGGAACCGAAGGAGAAUUUGGACCCAGAAGUAGAUAAUUCUCUCAGACUUUACAAGUGGAACGCUGUUCGGGGUUUUUUGGCGCUAUUGUGUACUACAGCCACCACUAAGUCUACAUACUCCUACAGAGGGCCCCAGUACAUCUCUUCUUUUUAAACAUUGUGUAAGCACAUCUAUUCACGUACUGUAGGGGAAACACACAGUUUAGUGUCUUUUUUGGAGGCUAUUUUUGACUUGACUGCUUCUGGUAAUUGUCCCGUCUCCUCCGCUUGACUAGUCCUUUUUUAAUGAGCUUCAUGUGCUUGUAUAUGCGCCGACGUGUGUGUUCACUGAGAGACGAACCUUACAGCAGGGUGCAGACAGACACCCAAAUGGUUCCUGUGUAAUUUCCCCCCUCCGUGGGUGCAAGUUGGCCUUUUACCUUCAUCCCACUUCUCCUGGCAACUUGCUGGUCCAAACCCACCCCCCAAAAAUAAGCUCUUUAUACUUGGUAUCACUCCAGCACGCUGUUUACUCUGUAAGCAGACGCUCUCCUGCAGCGCCACUUCGCUGAUUUGAUUACAAGCCGCUGUGGCAGAAGCAAGAAGCAAACCCAGAUCACUUCCACUUACAUGGAUUUAGAGAGAGUUUGUUUUGCUUAAGUGAAUUUGAGACUGCAUGGCUAAGUUUUGAUCCAAUUAGUUGACCCGACACUGCAAUGCUGCUUUCAGUGUUGGGUACAAAACACAACAAGCACACGAGUGGGUACAAAUCUCCUUAAAAAUCAGGGUGGUGGUUGAUUUUAAACUACUGGUUAGAAUGUUUCAGGUGUCCUGUGUUACACUGUCAGCUAUUGUGUACUUACUACUGAAUGAUUUUUAAAAGAAAAUAAUAUGCGUGUGUGUGUGUGUGUGUGUGUGUGUGUGAGCCUGAGGAAAACCAAAGUGUGUUGUCGAGGCUGCACAGAAUGUCUCAGCAUGGUGUGUAUUCAGCUGUUAAGGUGGACUGGGUGUUUUCAGCACUUUCUCCAAGAUGGGCCGGAUUAUGGCUGCCCAGACUCAACAAGAUUUGAUCACGGCGUUUAUUUAUUGGAGCGUAGAGAUGUGUUAACGGUACGUUCGACAUCCGACUGAGAGUGUUGGAAGUUUAAAACGUGUCACACUUUGUACCUUAACAGGCCUAGUUAGAGAUUACUAGACACUGGAAACAAUCAAUGUUUUUACCUGAAUUGUUGGAUUGUACACAUAAAAUCUUUGGGGUAUUAUAUUGAUUCAUAGAUAUGCAAACAACACCCCCGAAUCAAACGGCUUGUGUGUAGAUUUAUUGUCGAUGUAAAAAACGAGGGAUUGAGUCACUGUCUGCUCUCCAGGAAUGAAACACCUGAACACGUCACUGUCUUCUCUUUGCUGUUCUCAUAAUUAAAAAAAACUUUUGGUUAUAACUUUUGAAUGUAUCCUCCAUAUCUUUCUAAUUUGUUCCCUACUCGAGAUCACAGUCAAAUCACCCUUAGCUGUUAUCUAAGCAGAUGUAGUGUGCUCUAUGCUCAGGCACUGAGAUAAGCAUCUGUAGUGAAUCAGUCCACAGUUUGAGAAAUUGAAUUUCAUAUCUCUCUUAUUACUUGAGUUCUUUCUCCAAUUUUUUCUUUCUUUCUUUAAAAAAAAAAGCAAGUUUUUAUUUCUCUCUAUGCUGACUGAUUUGCUUUAUUUAUUACCGUUUAUGUUCUCGGGGUUUAUAUUGGUUGAUCUUCAAGCUUUAGCAUGAAAUAAAACAUUACUUUUAAAAUGC